UUCUUUGUCAAAUUAUAUUCAUUAUCCAGCCUUAUAAAACAUUGUUGUUAUGUCAAAUAAUAAUAUUGCCUAUUGCUUAUUUGUAUUAAAAUAAUCUAGCAGGCGCCAUUUCUACGUGACAGACUUCGUCCUGCCAUCGUCAGGUAAUUUCAUUAUGAAACGAUUACGUCACGAUUGGCAACGGAAUGUUAUAAGAGCGUAACGGACAGUUAAUAGAAAUUCGCGCUUGUUUCCUACCGGUCUUUGACGGACACGUGGUCCUCGCGGUGCAUGCCUUAUAACCAGGUGAUAACACCGUAAAACUUAACGUACAAUUUUUAUUGAAAUCAAAAAACUAAUAUCAACUAGAUAGCACUACUAUAACUUCAAACUUGCUAAGUUACUUCUCAUACUGUGUCUGUGGAAACGGCGCCUUACGAGUUGUAAACGAAAUAGUACAUGGUAUUACUUUAGGAAUUAGGAACUCCAAUACUUUCAUGACAUAUUGAAGCAGCAAACUAUACAAUUAAAUUAUAACAAAAAUCUAUAACUUUGUACAAUAUAGAGGCUUUAAAUUAAUUAUGGUGAAAUUACUGUGACUACAGUUUCCAUUGAAUACCUUCUUCAUCUAUAGUGUUGUCCAGAAUAAGUACAAAUAAUAUAAAAAAAAGGAAAACCUUAAUUAAUUUGUCCUAACGGUGUCACAUUUACUGGUUUCAUAAUCAAACAAAAUUGUAUAUUAGAUCCUAAUAAAUUACAAAAACAUUUAUUAUACAAUAAAUAAUAUUUUACAAUUAUAACUCGGAAUGUAUUGCAUGUUGGUGGGGAAGUAGUUCACCAGGGUGGAUGAACAGACCCUCUUUGGCUUGCCAGUCGGUGUACGCUCCGUACUGUGAGGUGACACCCACAAUCUCACCCUGCCCACUGA